UGCUACUUUGCUGACGAGCGGCGGACGGGUGAGUAAUGCUUGGGAACAUGCCUUGAGGUGGGGGACAACAGUUGGAAACGACUGCUAAUACCGCAUAAUGUCUACGGACCAAAGGGGGCUUCGGCUCUCGCCUUUAGAUUGGCCCAAGUGGGAUUAGCUAGUUGGUGAGGUAAUGGCUCACCAAGGCAACGAUCCCUAGCUGGUUUGAGAGGAUGAUCAGCCACACUGGAACUGAGACACGGUCCAGACUCCUACGGGAGGCAGCAGUGGGGAAUAUUGCACAAUGGGCGAAAGCCUGAUGCAGCCAUGCCGCGUGUGUGAAGAAGGCCUUCGGGUUGUAAAGCACUUUCAGUCAGGAGGAAAGGGUGUGAGUUAAUACCUCAUAUCUGUGACGUUACUGACAGAAGAAGCACCGGCUAACUCCGUGCCAGCAGCCGCGGUAAUACGGAGGGUGCGAGCGUUAAUCGGAAUUACUGGGCGUAAAGCGUACGCAGGCGGUUUGUUAAGCGAGAUGUGAAAGCCCCGGGCUCAACCUGGGAACUGCAUUUCGAACUGGCAAACUAGAGUGUGAUAGAGGGUGGUAGAAUUUCAGGUGUAGCGGUGAAAUGCGUAGAGAUCUGAAGGAAUACCGAUGGCGAAGGCAGCCACCUGGGUCAACACUGACGCUCAUGUACGAAAGCGUGGGGAGCAAACGGGAUUAGAUACCCCGGUAGUCCACGCCGUAAACGAUGUCUACUAGAAGCUCGGAACCUCGGUUCUGUUUU
rnacentral:rRNA from 1 species